GUGCCAGCAGCCGCGGUACUACCGGCAGCCCGAGUGAUGACCGAUCUUAUUGGGCCUAAAGCGUCCGUAGCUGGCUGCGCAAGUCCGUCGGGAAAUCCACUCGCCCAACGAGGGGGCGUUCGACGGAAACUGCACAGCUUGGGACCGGAAGGCUCGAAGGAUACGUUCGGGUAGGAGUGAAAUCCCAUAAUCCCGCACGGACCACCGAUGGCGAAAGCACUUCGAGAAAACGGAUCCGACAGUGAGGGACGAAAGCCAGGGUCUCCAACCGGAUUAGAAACCCUUGUAGUCC
rnacentral:rRNA from 1 species